rnacentral:rRNA from 1 species
UACGUAGGGUGCAAGCGUUGUCCGGAAUUAUUGGGCGUAAAAGAGCUCGUAGGCGGUUUUGUCGCGUCUGCUGUGAAAAACUCGGGGGCUUAACUCCGGGCCUGCAGUGGUACGGGGCAGACUAGAGUGUGGUAGGGGGAGACUGGAAAUUCCUGGUGUAGCGGUGAAAUGCGCAGAUAUCAGGAGGAACACCGGUGGCGAA